rnacentral:rRNA from 1 species
UACGUAGGGACCAAGCGUUGUCCGGAAUCACUGGGCGUAAAGGGCGCGUAGGCGGCCCGAUAAGUCGGGGGUGAAAUCCUGUGGCUUAACCACAGGGCUGCCUCCGAGACUGUCGGGCUCGAGCACAGUAGAGGCAGGUGGAAUUCCCGGUGUAGCGGUGGAAUGCGUAGAUAUCUGGAGGAAUACCGGUGGCGAAGGCGGCAUCCUGGACCGAGAUUGACACUGAUGAGCGAAAGCUAGGGGAGCAAACGGG